UUAAUUUGUAUGAUCGCCAAUUUCACAUCUCAAAUCGUCGAUAAAUGUACGAAAUGUCGCUAUUGAGGAAAUCUUUUAAUAUUUAUAAAUACUUAAGAACGUUUUCUGGUAUUGCUUUAUUGAAAACUAGUGCAAAUGAGCAAAUUCCUUUCUAUAAAAGUCACACAUUGAGUCGAUUUGUUCGAAGCUAUACAAGACAUAAAUUCACCGAAAUUAGUUCAAUGGAAAUACUACAGCAAGAGCAUGGAUGUUGAGACUUGAACGGUGCCAUGUUAGAUUUAGAAUUCCUGAAACAUAAGAAACCCUCCUCCCAGAUGAAUCUAGUACUACUGAAAUUAAUGAAAGAACAGAUCUUAUAAAAACUCCGAAAGAAACCAAAAGAGUCCUCACAUAAUGUGCGCAGCUUACACUUCCAGACCGCACGGGGUAUUUGACAUUUUCCACUCUUCCUCCAGCAUUUGUCCGAUAGCAAAAAUUGUUCAAAUAUUCAUUUUCACCUCCUUUAUACAUAUAUAUAUAGUGUACUACGAUAAUAUAUUUAUAAAGUAAAUAUAAUAAUAAACAACUAAAUGGCAUGAUAUUUUAAAUAAAUAUGUAAUAUAAUUAAU